GACGAACGCUAGCGGCAGGCUUAACACAUGCAAGUCGAGGGGUAGAAGUUGCUUGCAACUUUGAGACCGGCGCACGGGUGCGUAACGCGUAUGCAACCUACCUUUUACAGAGGGAUAGCCCAGAGAAAUUUGGAUUAAUACCUCAUAGUAUAUAACCUUCGCAUGUUGGUUAUAUUAAAGUUCCAACGGUAAAAGAUGGGCAUGCUUCCUAUUAGCUAGUUGGUGUGGUAACGGCACACCAAGGCGACGAUAGGUAGGGGUCCUGAGAGGGAGAUCCCCCACACUGUUACUGAGACACGGACCAGACUCCUACGGGAGGCAUCAGUGAGGAAUAUUGGACAAUGGGCGCAAGCCUGACCCAGCCAUGCCGCGUGCAGUAAGAAGGCGUUAUGCGUUGUAAACUGCUUUUAUACAGGAAGAAACGACCCUUGCGAGGGGCAUUGACGGUACUGUAUGAAUAAGCACCGGCUAACUCCGUGCCAGCAGCCGCCGUAACAC
rnacentral:rRNA from 1 species